UGCUCUGUGGCUUAGUUGUUUAAAGCGACAGUCUAGCCCGUAUUCGCUAGACUUCGUGGGACGUGGGUUCGAAUCCCAUCAAAACGU
rnacentral:tRNA from 1 species